rnacentral:rRNA from 1 species
CCUCCUUGUGUCCGCCGUGCGGCCUCUUGGUCCCUGGCCGGCCGUCUGCCCCAGCCAUGCCGCGUGCAGGAAGACGGCUCUAUGAGUUGUAAACUGCUUUUGUACAAGGGUAAACCUGAAUACGUGUAUUCAGCUGAAAGUACUGUACGAAUAAGGAUCGGCUAACUCCGUGCCAGCAGCCGCGGUAAUACGGAGGAUCCAAGCGUUAUCCGGAUUUAUUGGGUUUAAAGGGUGCGUAGGCGGAUUGAUAAGUUAGAGGUGAAAUGUCCGAGCUUAACUCGGGAACUGCCUCUAAUACUGUUGAUCUAGAGAGUAGAUGCGGUAGGCGGAAUGUAUGGUGUAGCGGUGAAAUGCUUAGAGAUCAUACAGAACACCGAUCGCGAAGGCAGCUUACCAAUCUAUAUCUGACGUUGAGGCACGAAAGCGUGGGGAGCAAACAGGAUUAGAUACCCUUGUAGUC